rnacentral:lncRNA from 1 species
AACUCAAACUACCUGGAGUUAAGGACACAGAAGUCUGCUUGUGUGAGGAGGUUUUCUCAGCUUCUUCUGAAGAGAGGGAAAGAUCGUUUAAGGCAAGUAAACUUCAUAAUUUCAUGUUAUCAGUUGUUGUUGUGUUUUACUAAGAGUAAAAUAAUGUUUGUUUUUUGUUUUUGUAGAUGUUAAAAGCAAGAGACAUGGGAGAGCAUCAUUCCUUUGAGAUUUUAUGUAAGUUAUUUUUAGAAAAUAAAUUUUUCUGUUGUCUCCUGCCGGUUUACUUCACAUUUUGAUGCAACAACAGUGUGAUUACGUGCUCAUUUCAUUAAGACCAUUGAUGUCUGUGUUUUUUAUUGCAGAAAUCAAACCAAGUUUGGAGUUGUCUGAUUUGGAGAGUCAUUAUUCUUGGUCUUCGCUCUUAGAGGCCACUGAUGAAGAACAGGCGGUGACUGGGAUGAAUCCUGGAAUCUUCUUUCCCCUAAACUGAUGCAGCGGUGGUUUUAAAGGAGGACGCUGCCCUGGAUGAUGUAGAAGAUGUCACAUGCUGUGCUGAUGCGGUUUCUUCAUGAUUACAUCAGUUAUGCUAAAGAGAUCAUGAAAAUUGACCGUGAUGCAUGAUCUGUAUUCAUGGACUAUGAAACAAACUAAGUGUAUAAUUUGUUAAAAAAAAAAAGUUAAAUGCUUUUUCUGUGUUGUUUAUUAGAGUUAACACUCUGUCAUUCAUACACCUGCUCACAUUCUUUCACACACACACAUGCGUCUGUUAAAUGUUAUAAUAUCAGAGUUAAUGUUGUGAUUUAUUUGUGUACUGUCAUGCCAGAAUAGUUGGAAAAAAACCUAACUAAUUGUAAAUUUAUUGUAUGUGUUUUCGUAUAUUUUUAUACAAUAUAUACAAUUGAACAAAGUCCAAUUUGAUCUUAAGUUAUAUUCAUCAAAUGUUCAAUGCUUUGUUUAUGAACUCUGUAGCUGUUAAUGCCGUCCUUUUCUGCAUUUCUUCUAACAUGUUACUUUUUGACUUUUCUCUUGUUUUUAAUAAAUAUUUUCCUUUUGGUAAUUAUUAUUUGUGUGUAAAAGUGAUAUUUAAAAUGAACAACAUUUGUAGGUUUAAUGCCUAGCUCAAUUUGGGUUAAUUUGAACGUAGAAAUGCAUUGUUUCCCCACAUGGCUGCACUCUGCGAGUUUAUUUUCUGCCAGCAGGAGGCGCUAAGAGCGGGAGAGGUAGGUUUCUCCGGUAACGGCUGCAGAGCGGUGCUGAGCUCACA